GAUUAAGAACGCAGCGAAAUGCGAUAAGUAAUGUGAAUUGCAGAAUUCAGUGAAUCAUCGAAUCUUUGAACGCACAUUGCGCCCGUCAGUAUUCUGGCGGGCAUGCCUGUUCGAGCGUCAUUACGCCCCUCAAGUCCCCUGUGGACUUGGUGUUGGGGAUCGGCGAGGCUGGUUUUCCAGCACAGCCGUCCCUUAAAUUAAUUGGCGGUCUCGCCGUGGCCCUCCUCUGCGCAGUAGUAAAACACUCGCAACAGGAGCCCGGCGCGGUCCACUGCCGUAAAACCCCCCAACUUUUUAUAGUUGACCUCGAAUCAGGUAGGACUACCCGCUGAACUUAAGCAUAUCAAUAAGCGGAGGA
rnacentral:misc_RNA from 1 species